rnacentral:rRNA from 1 species
GUGGGGAAUCUUCCGCAAUGGACGAAAGUCUGACGGAGCAACGCCGCGUGAGUGAAGAAGGUUUUCGGAUCGUAAAGCUCUUUCGUUAGGGACGAACGUGCUCUUUGUGAAUAAUGAGGAGUAAUGACGGUACCUAAAUAAGAAGCCACGGCUAACUACGUGCCAGCAGCCGCGGUAAUACGUAGGUGGCAAGCGUUGUCCGGAAUUAUUGGGCGUAAAGCGCGCGCAGGCGGGAUAUCAAGUCUGUCUUAAAAGUGCGAGGCUCAACCUCGUGAGGGGACAGAAACGGGUAUUCUUGAGUGUCGGAGAGGAAAGUGGAAUUCCAAGUGUAGCGGUGAAAUGCGUAGAGAUUUGGAAGAACACCAGUGGCGAAGGCGACUUUCUGGACGAUGUCUGACGCUGAGGCGCGAAAGCUAGGGGAGCGAACGGGAUUAGAAACCCUGGUAGUCC